ACUAAUUUAGCAUAAAUAAUGUAUCAAUUUUAGAAUUUGAAGAUGAAGUUCAAUUAGUA
rnacentral:tRNA from 1 species